CAGUAUAAUGAAAGUUUACCAUUCAGAUUUAUUGCCAUACAAUAAAUCUUUCACAAAAAUAAGGAAGAAGCCUCUGGUGACUUUGUAGAGCUGAGGCAGUGAUGGCAUGUGGUGGGGCCUCCCUCCUGAGGGGGAGCCAGCGUUGGGAGCGGCACUUGCAGGCCUCCUUGGAGGCUGCUGCCCCAGCUGAGCUUUUAGCCAGUGAGUGCUUCUACUGUGUGACGAAUGAGAAGAGAGAAAGAGGGGAGGGCAAUCAGGGUUCUGGGGGUACCUCAGUGAGCCCAGAGGCCUGGAGGAGAGGCUAUGUGAUUCCCCAAUCAGGCCUUCCUUGGGAGUGUACCCUAUGUCAAGAUGACUGGGUUUCUGAAGGGCCUCAUUUCCUCCCACGACAAGCACUGACAGUCCUGCAGCCCAGGGACUGUCCUGUGGCACUGCCCAGCCCUCAGACUCAGUGGACAGUUCUGUGGUCCUGUCAGAAGCUCAGCUGCUCCACAUGACCCUUAAACAUUUAAACAUUUUUUGGUUUAAAGGAAAAGGAAGCCAAUCGAAAUGCUUUGGAAACAAAUUAAAGUUGCAAAUUAUUUCCCCACAUAGGAAAUACAUACCCUUGCUACCUGAAAUGAUAAUCAUCACUCCCCCUGCUGGCUGAGAGUGCUGCUCCUCCUCCUUCAGACUGGCUCCUCUGCAAAGCUGACCAAGUAUUAGCAGAAGCUGUUGCUGAGCCUUACCUCUAGCCUGGAUGCCCUGUACAUGCACUCUGAGGUGAGCACAGGAGUCAGAGGCUCCACUCCAGCAGUGACCGGAGGAGGCCUGACAGAACAAGCCCCUUGGGGACGGGCGGCAAGCUGCACUUGCCUCUGGGACCCCACCAGGGAUGGGCCCUCCGUGAGUCCCUCAGCCUCAGGGAGACUGUUUCAUUCCUUCCAAACAAGGAUAAGGAAGCUGCCUGCCCUACCUCAACAGCCUCUGAGAGCGCAGCUUGGCCAGGCCUUCCUGUGUGGAGCCCACACAGCGGCGCACUAAGAUGCUGGCAGUGUUUUGACCUUUUACAGAACUUGGGGUGACUGAGAAUGGUUCCUCCAAGGCCCUCAGAAGAUGUGAUGGACUUGAAUGACAUGGGCCUGCAGCCCUGGGACACGGGACAGGAAAAGCUAGCCCUGACACAGAUGAACUGGCAGUGGAUUCCAACAGUGUGCUCAGUCUCAUCUGGGCUUAUGUGCUUUCUAUGUUGAAGAGCAAAUACUUUUCCUUUGAGAAUGAAACUAGGCUCCUUAUCUAGACUGCGAAGGGGCCCGUGAGGACACAGAGUGUGACUGGAAAGGAAAGUCCCAACUGGCCCUUAGUGCAGCCCUAGUGGCUGUUUCCUUCUGAGAAGCUCCUUCUUCCAGCUCAGGCACCAACAUGCGGAUCACACCAGCCCAGAAGGGUUUUUAAAAAACCAGAAA
rnacentral:lncRNA from 1 species